rnacentral:rRNA from 1 species
GACGAACGCUGGCGGCGUGCCUAAUACAUGCAAGUAGAACGCACAGUUUAUACCGUAGCUUGCUACGCCAUAGACUGUGAGUUGCGAACGGGUGAGUAACGCGUAGGUAACCUGCCUGGUAGCGGGGGAUAACUAUUGGAAACGAUAGCUAAUACCGCAUAAUAUUAAUUAUUGCAUGAUAAUUAAUUGAAAGGUGCAAUUGCACCACUACCAGAUGGACCUGCGUUGUAUUAGCUAGUAGGUGAGGUAACGGCUCACCUAGGCGACGAUACAUAGCCGACCUGAGAGGGUGAUCGGCCACACUGGGACUGAGACACGGCCCAGACUCCUACGGGAGGCAGCAGUAGGGAAUCUUCGGCAAUGGACGAAAGUCUGACCGAGCAACGCCGCGUGAGUGAAGAAGGUUUUCGGAUCGUAAAGCUCUGUUGUAAGAGAAGAACGGGUGUGAGAGUGGAAAGUUCACACUGGGACGGUAUCUUACCAGAAAGGGACGGCUAACUACGU